AGAGUUUGAUCCUGGCUCAGAACGAACGCUGGCAGCGUGGAUUAGGCAUGCAAGUCGAACGGGAAGCCGUAUUUUCAAUCUUCGGAGAGAAUUUGCGGUGGAGAGUGGCGAAAGGGUGAGGAACGCGUAGGUAAUCUGCCCCUGAGUUGGGGAUAACACUCCGAAAGGAGUGCUAAUACCGAAUGUGGUGGCCCCGGGCAUCCGGGGUUUUCCAAAGGUGGGGAUCUUUCGGGACCUGCCGCUCGGGGAGGGGCCUGCGUCCCAUCAGCUUGUUGGUGAGGUAACGGCUCACCAAGGCGGUUACGGGUAGCUGGUCUGAGAGGAUGGUCAGCCACACUGGGACUGAGACACUGCCCAGACUCCUACGGGAGGCUGCAGUCGAGGAUCAUUUGCAAUGUGCGAAAGCGUGACAAUGCGACGCUGCGUGGAGGAUGAAGGCCUUCGGGUCGUAAACUCCUGUCAUUGGGGAACAAUUCGCUGAAUGUUAAUACCAUUUGGUUUUGAUGGUACCUGAAGAGGAAGCCACGGCUAACUCUGUGCCAGCAGCCGCGGUAAUACAGAGGUGGCGAGCGUUGUUCGGAUUUACUGGGCGUAAAGGGUGCGUAGGCGGUUUCGUAAGUCGGACGUGAAAGCCCACGGCUCAACCGUGGAACUGCGUCCGAAACUGCGUCACUAGAGUGCAGGAGGGGAGAGCGGAAUUCUUGGUGUAGCGGUGGAAUGUGUUGAUAUCAAGAAGAACACCGGUGGCGAAGGCGGCUCUCUGGAAUGUUACUGACGCUGAGGCACGAAAGCUAGGGUAGCAAACAGGAUUAGAUACCCUGGUAGUCCUAGCUGUAAACGGUGUGCACUUGGUGUGGGAGGUAUUGACCCCUCCCGUGCCGGAGCUAACGCGUUAAGUGCACCGCCUGGGGAGUACGGCCGCAAGGCUAAAACUCAAAGAAAUUGACGGGGGUCCGCACAAGCGGAGGAGCAUGUGGCUUAAUUCGAUGCAACGCGAAGAACCUUACCAGGGCUUGACAUGCAGCUGCUACUCCCCCGAAAGGGGGAUUCCUUCGAGGGUGCUGCACAGGUGCUGCAUGGCUGUCGUCAGUUCGUGCCGUGAGGUGUUGGGUUAAGUCCCGCAACGAACGCAACCCCUGUGUCUAGUUGCUACCAGAGGUGUUAAGCUUCUGGGCACUCUAGACAGACUGCCCGUACAAGCGGGAGGAAGGUGGGGACGACGUCAAGUCAGUAUGGCCCUUACGCCCUGGGCUGCACACGUGCUACAAUGGCCGGUACAGAGGGAUGCAAUGCCGCGAGGUGGAGCAAAUCCAUAGAACCGGCCUCAGUUCGGAUUGGAGUCUGAAACUCGACUCCAUGAAGUCGGAUUCGCUAGUAACGGCGCAUCAGCUACGGCGCCGUGAAUACGUUCCCGGGCCUUGUACACACCGCCCGUCACAUCAUGAAAGCCGUCUGCACCCGAAGUCGCUGAGCUAACCUUAACAGGAGGCAAGUGCCGAAGGUGUGGGUGGUGAUUGGGAUGAAGUCGUAACAAGGUA
rnacentral:rRNA from 1 species